rfam:Gossypium raimondii Chr03_contig_8, whole genome shotgun sequence.
UGUUAAAAGAUUCAUCCACUUCUACUGUUUAAAACUAGUGUGACUAAUGGAAUAAACAAACAGUUACACGAGGCGUGCUACAUGUACCUCUUGAUAACGUAUAAGGACCAAUUUUUAACAACAAAAAUAGAUGAAAUUUUUAAUA